AGGUCCAGCCUGCCCAGUGAAUUUUAAACGGCCGCGGUAUCCUAACCGCGCGAAGGUAGCAUAAUCACUUGUUCUUUAAAUGGGGACUUGUAUCAACGGCAUCACGAGGGUUUUACUGUCUCCUCUUUUUGAUCAGUGAAAUUGAUCUUCCCGUGAAGAAGCGGGAAUAAGCUUAUAAGACGAGAAGACCCCAUGGAGCUUAAAACCAAAUAACAACUUAACCACUUAUCCCACUAUAAAUUUAAGCCCUGUUAUAAGGUUUUUGGUUGGGGUGACCGCGGAGUAAAACACAUCCUCCACGACGGAAAGAACACACUCUUUAUUUAAGAACCACAAUUCUAGAAAUUAGUAUACUAACGUUUACUGACCCGACAAUCGAUCAACGGACCAAGUUACCCUGGGGAUAACAGCGCAAUCUACUUCAAGAGCCCAUAUCGACAAGUAGGCUUACGACCUCGAUGUUGGAUCAGGGUAUCCCGGUGGUGCAGCCGCUACCGAAGGUUCGUUUGUUCAACGAUUAAAACCCUACGUGAUCUGAGU
rnacentral:rRNA from 1 species